CCCCAAUGGCGGAGCCACGGCGCUCCCUGGCGGCAAGGAGGUCCACAGGGACGCCCCGCCCCCUCCCCCACGGCCGGCGUACGGCGGCCGGCGAGGGCCGGAAGAGUCGCGCCGGCGGCGCGUUCGCCCUGCCGGUGCCGGCGCGGCGAUGCCCGGUGUGCGGGCGGCGGGGGGGGCCCGGCCCGGCUCCCCGGCCCCGCGGAUCCGCGGCGGCGGCGGGUGACUCCGCCCCGGCGGCCAUGGGGUGCCUGCAGAGCGUGGCCUGCAAGGCGCGGGUGCGGCGGGAGCAGAUCGUGGUGUCGGACGUGUCGGCCACCAUCGAGCCGGCGGCCACGGCCAUUGAGGAGAGCUCGCCUGUGGUGCUGCGGUACCGCACGCCCUACUUCCGCGCCUCCGCCCGCGUCCUCAUGCCGCCCAUCGCCCGCCGUCACACCUGGGUGGUGGGCUGGAUCCAGGCCUGCAACCACAUGGAGUUCUACAACACCUACAGCGACCUCGGCGUGUCAAGCUGGGAGCUGCCUGACCUGCGAGAAGGAAGAGUAAAAGCCAUCAGCGAUUCGGAUGGCGUGAGCUACCCCUGGUAUGGAAACACCACAGAAACUGUGACCUUGGUUGGGCCCACUAACAAGAUCUCCAGGUUCUCGAGCGAUGCAAGAAGCAUGAGUACAAUCGAACCGUGCCUGUGGCAAACGCUGCUUUCCAUCCAGCUGGAGGUUCAUUUAAGUUAUUUACUGGUAUUUAUUGACGUCUGGACGUCAAGGGGUGAUUUCAGCUGUGUGGCAGCUGGGUCUCCCCUCACCCAGGCCCCUACAUUUUGGGGUGCUGCUGCACGUUCGGGAGCGCCGCUAAGGAGAGAGGUUUGUGGGCCCCUGUGCUCCUGUCCCCUUUUGGAGCCUGGAGGUGGAGAAAGGAAGAGGAAUCACAUCGGUGCCUGCGGUGAUGACACCCCAUGCCUGUCCCCUUCCUGCAGAAGCUCCAAGCCCCUGUGCCCUCUCCCCAGGCACUGGGCUCCCUCCUGUGCCCAUUCGUAUUUAUUGGCCCGGCCUUCCAGCGUUUCUCGGUUUACUCCUGCUAGAUUUGCUGUUGCCAGUUCCUGGAGACGGUGAGAAGAGCCAGGACAUGUGGGUGUUGCUAUGGAGAAAAGACCAAACCAGAUCAAUCAACUUCCAGCAGAAGAUGAGAAAGCAGUUCAGUGAGAGAUUUGGCUCUGCAGCUGCUCCUCUACACAUGGGAACAAAGGCGUUAAUGUGUUAGUGACGGCUGCACGAAGCAGUUUGGAUCCCCCAGAGCUCCCUGAUGGGAGGACAGGCACAACCAGGAGGAGUUGGCAUCAACAGCAAGAUGGAGCUGUUGCCAGCAUGCUUGUGCUGCUCCAGCCUCUUCCUGCAGCACAACCCAUGCAUCCAGCCCAAGGAAGUCAGUCGAGCUCCUGAAGAUGGUAAUGUCCACCCACGUAAGCAGCCGGCAGCGGCCGCCAGGGGGCGGUGGCGCCGCGCUGGAGCCCCUUACAGGCAAAGGAGCCGCCGCCUCAAGCUGGGAGGCUCAUAGACUCAUGGAAUCACCGGGUUGGAAAAGACCUCUUGGAUCAUCGAGUCCAGCCAUUCCUAUCUGCCACUAAACCAUGACCCGAACCAAUUCGUCUACCCAUCUUUUAAAUACAUCCAGGGAUGGUGACUCCACCCCCCUCCCUGGGCAGCCUCUGCCAGUGUCCGAUGAUCCUUUCAGUGAAAAGUUUUUCCUGAUAUCCAGCCUGAACCUCCCCUGGCAGAGCUUGAGGCCAUUCCCCCUUGUCCUGUCCUCUGUCACUUUGGAGAAGAGGCCAGAACCCUCCUCUCCACAACCUCCUUUCAGGUAGUUGUAGAGAGCAAUAAGGUCUCCCUUCAGCCUCCUCUUCUCCAGGCUAAACAACCCCAGCUCUCUCAGCCGCUCCCUGUAAGACUUGUUCUCCAGCCCCUUCACCAGCUUAGUUGCUCUUCUCUGGACACCCUCCAGAGCCUCAACAUCCUCCUUGUGGUGAGGGGCCCAGAUCUGAACACAGUACUCGAGGUGCGGUCUCACCAGUCCUGAGUACAGAGGGAGAAUAACCUCCCUGGACCUGCUGGUCACACCGUUUCUGAUACAAGCCCAGAUGCCAUUGGCCUUCUUGGCCACCUGGGCACACUGCUGGCUCAUGUUCAGUCACUGUCAACCAACACCCCCAAGCCCUUCUCCUCUGUACAGCUCUCCAGCCACUCUUCCCCCAGUCUGUAGCAGUUCAUAGGGUUGUUGUGCCCCAAGGGCAGGACCCAGCAUUUGGCCUUAUUAAACCUCAUACCAUUGGUCUCAGCCCAUCAGUCCAGCCUGUUCAGAUCCCUUUGCAGAGCCUCCUUAUCCUCAAGCAGAGCGACACUUCCACCCAGCUUAGUAUUGUCUGCAAACUUGCUAAGGGUGCAUUCAAUGCCUUCAUCCAGGUCGUUCAUAAAAAUACUGAACAGGACUGGACCCAGCACUGAGCCCUGGGGGACACCGGGAGGCAUGUGAAAUGCUUCUCCUCCUGCACAGUUCCCUCAUCUCCAGCGUCCGACUGGUCCAACAGCACAGGGGGCUCUGCCCCAGCGGAGCUUUCUCUCUUCUCCCCAUCACUGCUGUUGUAGAGAGUUUCUUUGAGACACUGCGACUAAAGCAGCUAAGAUCUGUAAAUGACAUUAACUUGGAAGUGAACUAAUUAAUCCCAUCAUCACUCAUUACCUGAUUACACAUGACCUCACCGCAGGCUCUUGAAGUAACUCUUCUUCCCUGGGCAUAUAAACUGGGCAGCUGGUAUCUAAGCAAGGUCAAGCUGAACACUGCAUCCAGACAGAAUUCAGGAAGUGUGGGAGGACAUCCCAUGGGUACAAUAGAAAUGGGACAAGGACCACUGAUGACUGUUUCAGGCUAAUGGGAAGAUGAACUUUUGGGGCAGGACCAUUUUCCCCUCUCCAGGACGGCAAUGCACUCCCCUUCUAUUCCCCCUGCCCCAAAAUCAAAGCUGUAAGGAUCCCCUGCUGGCAGCUCUCUUCUGCCAUAAAAAACAAGCACGUUUUAAUGGAAAACGAGAAGCAGAACAGAUUAUAACACGUACAGGAGCAAGCACAGGCAAGUGGUGAAGGUGGGAGGAACAGGAAGAUCCUCAGGCAGUGGGGUUUUCCAGGGCUGUCUAUAUUGCUGAAUCCUGGAGGAGCCCUGUCCCUAACUUGGUUGCUGUGGGAACACUGAGAUGUCAGGAGGCUGUACCAAAGAUGAGGAUAGCUGAAAUGAUUGCAUUGGGCAGGCAAAGGAGCACACAUCCAUAGGAAAAAACAUUCCAUUGCCCUCAGCAGUCAGAGAGGAAUGUGGUUUUCAAUUAGAUUUUGGGGCAUAAACCAAUGAAGACAGGAAAAGUUCCUGUUCACUAAGUUGCUUGUAAGCUGACCUGAUUGAACAAAUUCUUUGAGAUCUUCACAGGUGACAGGCUGCAAGCAAAGAGGAGAGAGGAUUCACUUACACAAGCACAGAAUGUCCUAGGCUUUCACUAGCAAGUACCAAAAAGAAACAGACAGCCCUUUAAGAGAGCAUCUGUUUUCCAUCCUUUUCUCCUUGUUUUCUCCAUCCUUUACUGAAUACAGGGGGGACAUUAGUGACAAAGGAUGAGGAUAAGGCUGAGGUACUUUAUGCCUUCUUUGCUUCAGUCUUUAAUAGUAAGGUGAGGUGUUCUCUGGGUAUUGAGCCUCCUAAGCCAGAAGACAGGGAGGGAAAGCAGAACAAAGCUCCCAUGAUCCAUGAGGAAAUGCUUAAAGACCUGCUUGGCCAAUUAGACAUUCAAAAGUCUAUGGGGCCAGAUGGGAUCCACCCGAGGGUAUUAGGGGAGCUGGUGGAGAUCCUCGCCAAAACACUUUCCAUCACCUACCAGCAAUCCUGGCUGACUGGGGAAGUUCCACUUGGCAGGAGGCUGGCUGAUGUUACACCCGUUUACAAGAAGGGCUCGAGGGAGGAUCCAGAAAACUACAGGCCUGUCAGUCUGACCUCGGUGCCAGGGAAGGUCAUGGAGGACAUCAUCUUGAGAGUGUUAUCACACAGCACACACAAGACAAUCAGGUGAUCAGACCCAGUCCACACAGGUGGACUGGCAGGUCCUGCCAAACUAACCUGAUCUUCUAUGACAAGGUGACCUGCUUGGAUCACCUUGGAUGAGGGAAUGGCUGUGGACAUAGUGUACUCGAACUUCAGUAAAGCCUUUGACACUUAUUUCUCACAGUAUCCUCCUUGAGAAACUGGCUUCCACUGGCCUGGACAGGUGCACCCUCUGCUGGGUAAAAAACUGUCUGGCUGGCUGGGUCCAAAGAGUGGUGGUGAAUGGAGUUAAAUCCACAUGGAGGCCAGUCACGAUUGGUGUUCCCUGGGUCUCAGUGCUAGGUCCAGUUUCUGUUCAGUAUCGAUGACUUGGGUGAGGGGUUUGAAUGUACCCUUAGUAAGUUCACGAACGACACUAAGCUGGGAGGAAGUGUUGCUCUGCUCGAGGGUAGGGAGGAUCUGCAGAGGGAUCUGAACAAGUUGGAUCAAUAGGCUGCAUCCAACAGUAUGAGGUUCAACAAGGCCAAGUUCUGAGUCCUGCACUUGGGACAACAACCCCGUGCAGUCCUACAGGCUUGGGGAAGAGUGGCUGGAAAGCUGCCUGGCAGAGAAAGACCUGGUGGUGUUGGUUGACAGCUGACUGAACGUAAGCCAGAAGUGUGCCCAGGUGGCCAAGAAGGCCAAUGGCAUCUUGGCUUGUAUCAGAAACAGCAUGUCCAGCAGGACCAAGGAAGGGAUUUUCUCUCUGUACUCAGCACUACUGAGGCUGCACCUCGAAUACUGUAUUUAGUUUUGGGCCCCUGGCUACAAGAGAGACAUUGAGGUCCUGGAGUGUGUGCAGAGAAGGGCAAUGAAGCUGGUGAAGGAGUCUUAUGUCUUAAGUCAUAAGUCUUAUGAGGAGCAGCUGAGGAAACUGGGGCUGCUUAGCCUAAAGAAGAGGCUGAGGGGAUACCUUACCGCUGUCUACAACUACCUGAAAGGAGGUUGUAGAGGUGUGGGUGUUGGUCUCUUCUCCCAGAUGAUAGCUGAUAGUACAAGAAGGAAUGGCAUCAACUUAUACCAGAGGAGGUUCAGACUGAACAUUAGGAAAAAUUUCUUCACUGAAAGGGUUAUCGGGCACUGGAACAGGCUGCCCAGGGAGAUGUUUGAGUCACCAUACCUGGAGGUAUUUAAGACAGGUAGAUAAAGUGCUUAGAGAUAUGAUGUAGUAGUGGACAAGUACAGUUGGACUUGAUGAUCUCAAAGGUCUUUUCCAACCUAGUGAUUCUAUGAUUCUAUAUAUAUAAAAUACAAUAAUAUGUCUAUUUAUUUUAAGUCUGCAGAGAAGUGCACUCUAGUUGUGUGGUUAACAUGGGAAGUUUGCCUCAGAGCUAUCCUGACCAAGCUGCUCCCUCAUCUGAUCUCCUCCAACUUUCAGCUCUCCACCAGCCCCUCAGCCCUCUAAUCCCCCCAUUCUUCUGGUUAUGAUUUUGUGCCAGUUGACUGAGCUAGCUCGGGACUUAAGUGCUAGCACUUUCAGAGAAAGAAGCACACUAUUUGCAGUGCAUGUAAUUAGGGCAAAUGUUAUUUCACAAACUACCUCUAUGCCUAUCACAUUAAUUCAGUUUCAUGGAGAGAAAUACUUGCACAGCCACUAUUCACUUGUUUUGCACUUUUCUAAAUUCUCGGGAAUGAGUGAACAAAACCAUUAAUUUUCUGCUGAUACAGACUUUCUAGGUCUGCUCAAAUAAACAUUCAACCGUGCCUGGUAGGGUGGGGCUGAAGUCUGUUUUUUCUAAACAUCUCAUAUUGUCAUUCUGAAACUUACAGGCGUGAUCAGCUUUGCAGGAUUUCCCUUUCAUGCUGGGAGCAACGAAUAAGCCAGCAUGCAAGGAGCAGCACAGGAAAAAUUACAAAGUGCAACAAUCAUUCAUUUUUCACCACAAUCCCAACACCACUCCCAUGCAAACGGAUGGUAAAUCUUUCAUUGACAGCAAGAGUUCAAGGUCUGACCCAGACUCAGCCUCAGUGUAUGAAGAUGUGACCACAGAGGAUCUGAUGCAGGUCUGGUCUAAGUGGGCUGAACUAUUAACAACUUUGAUAGAAUUUCCACCACCUUUCGCCAGGAGCAAAUUUGAUCUGAGCAUUAAAUUAGUAUUGUCUUUACACAACCCUUGCAGUCUCCUUUCUGCUUCAUGAUGCUUUUGCUAUUGGUAAUUUACUGUUGUAUAAUAACAAAGACUAAAUAAACGUGCCUUUUAGAAACCAAUCAGCAGGAUCCUGUGACAGACCACUGAACAGGGAGUAAUGGGGAACAAUGCUUGACCUGCUUAAAACAACAGAAUAACAUAACACUUCAGAGAAGCAAGACAAAAAGCAUGAAUUUUUAUCCAUCUCCAGAGAAGACAAGUAAAGGGCUUAAUUUCAGCUUCCCCAGCACUUUACAUAUAAAAGCUCUGUUUUGAAAUACAGACAGCAACCACAAACGGAACUGUAGUAAUGUCUCUGCAAUCAAAACAGUUCUGGGUACAUCUGCAUGCCUGGGGGCAGAUAAAUUAAGAGUAUCUAGACUGGCAGGAUGCAAGACAGAUCAAGUCCAGACACCAGCUAGCGAUGUUAGCGCUGCUGAAAGCAGUAAGCCACACAAAUAUGUUCCAUUAGCUUAGGCUGCCUUGUGGUUACCCAGCUAUACAGCUUUCAGGCUGAGAUGACCAGGUCAAAGCACAGAGAUGUGUCUGCACAUGACAUACCUUCCAUAUGAAAGGCAAAUUAAAAUCAAACACAAACCUCCAGAAACGUGUAGCUACAAAUGGAAACAAGAAGGACAGCCUGUUCUUCUGGUCUCCUUUUGCUUUUCAUCUCACUUAUUCUUACAAACUUCACCUUUGCAAGCUUUAAUAAAUUCACAGAAUACUGUGGUAGCAUUUUAAAGAUUUCUAGGAUCAAGGCAAGUCCAAGCCUUUUUCCUAAAUCCCUCUCCAGGUCACGUUCAUUUAACUCCAAGGCAAAUACACACAGAGCCAUUCAGAACAAGGAGUCAAAGGCAAAUGACUGGCAGUGUUUACAUUCUCCUCUCAUGUAUCAUCAGCGACAGAAACUGCUGUACCUCAACCACAACUAGUCAAACAGGCCAGACAUUUCUUUGUACUGGACACAGCAGUAACAUACAGCCUGCGUGACUGUGACUGAGCCCCUAUCAUUCUGACAAUGUGGAGAAUGUGUUCAUGAAGGCCUUAUGAAUUACGUUUGUGCCCAU